rnacentral:rRNA from 1 species
CCUACGGGCGGCUGCAGUGGGGAAUAUUGCACAAUGGGCGAAAGCCUGAUGCAGCGACGCCGCGUGAGGGAUGACGGCCUUCGGGUUGUAAACCUCUUUCAGCAGGGACGAAGCGCAAGUGACGGUACCUGCAGAAGAAGGACCGGCCAACUACGUGCCAGCAGCCGCGGUAAUACGUAGGGUCCGAGCGUUGUCCGGAAUUAUUGGGCGUAAAGAGCUCGUAGGCGGUCCGUUAAGUCGGAAGUGAAAUCUCAAGGCUCAACCUUGAAAUCGCUUUCGAUACUGGCGGACUUGAGGCAGGUAGGGGAAGGUGGAAUUCCUGGUGUAGCGGUGAAAUGCGCAGAUAUCAGGAGGAACACCGGUGGCGAAGGCGGCCUUCUGGGCCUGUUCUGACGCUGAGGAGCGAAAGCGUGGGGAGCGAACAGGAUUAGAUACCCGAG